rnacentral:rRNA from 1 species
UACAGAGGGUGCGAGCGUUGUCCGGAAUCACUGGGCGUAAAGGGCGCGUAGGCGGCUUGAUAAGGUUGCGGUGAAAGCCCGGGGCUCAACCCCGAGUCGGCCGUGCGAACUGGGCUCACUGGAGCAUAGUAGAGGCAGGUGGAAUUCCGGGUGUAGCGGUGGAAUGCGUAGAGAUCCGGAAGAACACCGGUGGCGAAGGCGGCCUGAGCUGGGCUACUGGCUGACACUGAGGCGC